CAACAACAUAUUAACAUAUUGACCAUGAAUAGUUAAAAUAUUUAACACAUCGUUGGUUUUAACCGAAACGAGAGAAUAUAGGUCUUACCAGUG
rnacentral:rRNA from 1 species